rnacentral:rRNA from 1 species
UACGUAGGGGGCAAGCGUUGUCCGGAUUUAUUGGGCGUAAAGAGCGUGUAGGCGGCCAGACAGGUCCGUUGUGAAAACUCGAGGCUCAACCUCGAGACGCCGAUGGAAACCGUCUGGCUAGAGUCCGGAAGAGGAGAGUGGAAUUCCUGGUGGUAGCGGUGAAAUGACGCAGAUAUCAGGAGGAACACCGAUGGCGAAGGCAGGUCUCUGGGCAUUAACUGACGCUGAGGAGCGAAAGCAUGGGGAGCGAACAGG